ACAGUUUGCCUCAGAGUUUCAGUUUGUUAAUAAAGUUUUUUUAACUGGAUCCACCACUCACAGUAUCUCAUACAUCUAAUUAUUGGAUUGUGACAAAACUGCUGUUCCAUUAAAAGAAUUACAGGAUUGAACCAAAUGUGGUGUACAACUAGAGAU